rnacentral:rRNA from 1 species
GACGAACGCUGGCGGCGUGCUUAACACAUGCAAGUCGAACGGGCCUUGUCCCCUUUUUUUUGGGGGUGGGGUUAGUGGCGAACGGGUGAGUAACACGUGAGUAACCUGCCCCUCACUUCUGGAUAACCGCUUGAAAGGGUGGCUAAUACGGGGUGUUCUGGCCUGCUCGCAUGGGUGGGUUUGGAAAGAUUCGACCGGUUUUGGUUGUUUUGGUGGGGGAUGGGCUCGCGGCCUAUCAGCUUGUUGGUGGGGUGAUGGCCUGCCAAGGCUUUGACGGGUAGCCGGCCUGAGAGGGUGGGCGGUCACACUGGGACUGAGACACGGCCCAGACUCCUACGGGAGGCAGCAGUGGGGAAUAUUGCACAAUGGGCGCAAGCCUGAUGCAGCGACGCCGCGUGAGGGAUGGAGGCCUUCGGGUUGUGAACCUCUUUCGCCAGUGAAGAAGGUCCUGCUCUUUGUGGUGGGGUUGACGGUAGCUGGGUUAAUGAAGCGCCGGCUAACUACGU